UUAUGAUGUGAAUUUGUAGCCCAACACGUGUAACCCAACUAUCAAUUCGCCGUUUGAUUUCUCUUGCUACAUCCGACACUGGUGAAAAGCUCUCUGCACAGCCCUCUUCUUCAAACGGCUCUUCGCUUAAUAUCUCUGCUCUCUCAUUCCUCCCCUCUGUCUACUGAUAUUUCCUACUGGUUAAUCUUCUUCUCAUCUUGUGUUUCUUGCAUUGAUUUGUUUCAAUCGCUGGCAAUAUGCUAGGUAUUUGUGUUUUCCCCUAAAUAGCGAGGGGAUUCCUGCAGACAAAGUGAGACAUGUUAAUAAAUUUUGUUCUCUAGGUGUUUGACAAAAUUCUUCAAUCAGGUUCUCAGUUAGAUUUCGUAUGCAUGGUCCAUUCUACUGUUUUCUCUGGUUUCAUUUUGAGUUAGGGCAUUUUGACGCGCGAAUAGGAAAUCUCUGCCUGACAUUGCAAGAAGUUUCAUUAGCUUAUUUAGUGGUGUUUUUGAGUUGAAAGCUUUCUUUCUGUCUCCGUUUUAGAUAGUCAUCAAGAUUGAUUUUCCUUUGCUUAAGAAAUAAUUUUGGUUUACUAACAGAGAUAUCCCGAGCGGCAGUGCCGCAAGGUUUGAAAUUCAUGUAUUAUGUAGAUAGCUCUGCAAUUUGGAUCCUUCUUUAGCUACUAUUAUUUUGGUAUAUUUUUACCAACAAAGCGGACAUCAUUUAAUAAAAAUUUACAAUGUUUGAAUCGAUUGAAACAAUAAUUAUUUUACUGCUUAGCCGGAAAAUCUUUAACAUCCUGCUAUAAAUUUGAUCAAUUAAAGCGAAUUCCCUUUCCUUUCUUCUGGAUACCGUGAAACCUUUGUUGUCAAAUAAAAUCGAAAUAGUGACUAAAUGCAGUACUUGUGAUAUUCGAAUUUGACACUUGCCUCCUACCUCCAUGACAGAGGCGCAAUAUGUUUCUUCUUUUUUAGUUUCUCUUGAUGAUAUGUGGCCUCUAAACUAAGUUAUCUAUUGUAUGUUAAUAUAAGAUAUAUACUCACUGACUCUUUGGAUGGUUUAUCGAACGACUAGGUAAUAUAAUUUAAUUAGCAAUGGAUGUAUAACAUCAUGUUAACUGUUCACCUUACAAUACAAACUGUAAACAAACUAUCAAAUAAUAUUUUAACGUAUCUAAAUAUGUGCACUUAUACAAUUUCGUUGAUCAUUUUAUAUCGAUUAAAAAAAAUCUAUCUGAUAAAUUAAAAAGGAUAUGAUUAACACAACAAACUUCCCUUAUCUUCUGUGCUUUUAGCACUACUUCUGACAUUGUAUAAAAUCAUUGAAUAUAAAAUAUUUGAAACUUUCUUUUCAGGAUAAAUACACAAAGGAAAAGUUUUUACCUGUUGCAAUGCAUGUACGCCGUCUCCUUGCUUGUUCUUCUGUCUGUUUUCUUGAAAAUGUGGGGAUGUGUUGCAUAUACAUAGCUUGAAGGAGGAGGAUUUAGCUUCACAGGUGUGAAGUUAUUCUUCUCUGUUACGAUAAAAUUGCUUUUUAUCCACCAAUGUCUUCUCCUAUUUCGUACAAUAAUAUUGAUAAUGUAUAUGACAUUGUUAAAGAGUUUGUUUUUAUUAGUAAUCUAGCUGAAAGGAUUAAAGUAUUUCGGUGUUACAAUAUUAAUUGCAGUAUUUCUUCGUACAACAAAACCUUACUAUCUGGUGUGAUUAUCUUUGAACCUUACCAAGAUUAGAUAAAAUACAUGUUGUUGUCUCAAAUGAAGUGCUUGCGUGUGACGUCAAUGAUACAUUAGAGCUUCUAAAAUACUAUAUCUUUAAUCAAUUACUAUUUUGGAGAUUUUACAUAGUAGAAGAACAUAAUAAUUCCAAUUAAUACUUUAUUAUUUUGCACUUUUGGUUUAUUUUAUAGUGAACUAUUUUUAAUUUGGAAAUCAUUUGAAUUGACUUAUUGGAAUAUGGGGUAUCUUGGAUUUUGCUUAUUGUGUUUACUUUUGGCUGCUUGUAGAUUUGUCACUGUGAGACUUUAAGUACUCAAAACUCCGAAUUCACAUACAAGUAAAAGAUAAUUGCAAUGGGUAGCCAAUUUGAUCCUUACGCUUUCGCUUUUUCUGCGGCUGAGGUUCUUUUACUUCUCUAUCCACACUGAUAUUUCUUAGCUUUUUAAAAAAAAUUCUCAUUUUCUCUUCACACAAUCAAAUUGAUGAAAUUUUCAUCUGAUUUUCUAUUUGACUUAUGCUUUCAAAGGAUAUUUGUGCUCUAUAUUUCUUAGAUUUUGUUUCAUUUCCUCUUACCAUUGUGGUUACAUAGAAGUAUCAGUUUCAGUGCAAAUAAAUAUUGCACCUAUAUUUUUCCAAACCCAUGCCUAUUGUCACUAAAGAUAAAAGAGUAGUGGGUACAGCAGGUAAUUUAUAUGCACUAACUUAAAAAUCCAAGAUCUGCUUCUAUUUUCAAUACAAAUCACCUUUUAGUAAUUUCACUUUAUUUUGUGCUGUUUCAUGCUCUUAAGUAAUGCCAAAACGGUGAACUUUAUUUUCUUGUUUCUCGCUUGUGCAGUUGGAGCUUUUUCAGAAGAUGAUACGGCUGAAGUUAUGCCAAACAUGAGAAUGGAACCUCUCAAUCUUGUAUAUAAAUAGCAACACAGGUGCCUCUUUGGGUUAGCAGUUGCUGUUAAGAAACAAAGGAAAAUGUACUAUCAGACCUCCUGAAUCCAUGUCCAUUGAUGAGAAUGCGCGCAGUUCAAGAAAGCCGGAUAGCUCUAACACGGGCAGGGAAAUGAAGAAAACCAAAGUUGAUCAGUAGCUGGCAAAGUUGAUCAGUAGCUGGCUUGACACAUAGAGAGAGAAAUUUCAGGCAGUUCUAUGAUUUACAGGAACUAAGAUUUUGUUGGUGAUCUCUUGUGCAUAGUUAAGGUUUAGAUUCAGUGACAAUGACAUUAAACACUAAGCUUUUGCAGAACACUUUAAAUUACAUGUCUUCUCAAAUACUUGAUUCAGAAGAAAGAUAAAACAUCUAUACUUCAUUUUAUUGUUGCUGAAAUUUAAAAACUUUUCAACCUCUUUGCAAUU